CUCCCCUUUGGAUCCAACACCCAAAGGAGUUGGACAUCCUCCAUCUCUACACCCAAGAGGAGCUUGGGCAUCUCCUUUUCUUUGCUGAUUUUUAGAUCUUGAUUGCUUUAUAAUCAAGGAAAGAAGAGCAAGAGAAAAAGAGAAGAAAAAGAUUAAGAAAAGGAUCAAAGAGUUGAUCGUGAUCCAGGCUUCAUUUAGAUUCGCAAGGUGAUUGUUCUUGAAGAAGAAAAAUCAGCACCAAAGAGGGAUUCGCAAGGUGAUUGUUCUUGAAGAAGAAAAAUCAGCACCAAAGAGGACUAUUCCAGACUGAUCCUGAGUAGAUACCCAUAG
rnacentral:lncRNA from 1 species